GGGUGAGGUGAGGCCUGGCGUCAGCACACAGCCUCUGGUUCGGGGGCCAUGUGAGUGAGCUCUGUAGCUCAGGGACGGGCGGUGCUGCCUGGCAGCUGGUGAGAACAGCCCCAGAGGAAGGGGCACCCAAGCAAGCCUGAAGUCAGGGACCAGCAUCCGGCCUUCCGGCUAGGAGACAUUCAGCAGGCUGGCAGCCACCAGGCAGGAAGUACAGGGUUAAGCUCCUGUGCUUGCGGGAGGUGGGGAAGCUCUGACUGACUGCUAGAACCCCUUCUCCUAUGUCUUUGUUGCAGCUAAGACCCUCCAGGGAAGACCACAGAAAACAACAACCAAAAAGGUCUAACCAGGCCCCCUUCUGGGUGACCUCCACUAAACACUGUUCUCCACCUUCUCCUCGUAAUCCAAAUCCUCCACCCCACCGUGUCUGCCCACCACCUGUGAACAGGCCAGAUCAGGAGAGGACUCUUAGGCGGGUGGCCCAGGUACUCUCUUCCUGGUGGCAGGUGACAAACCUUUCUCCACUCUCACA
rnacentral:lncRNA from 1 species